rnacentral:rRNA from 1 species
AAUCUUCCGCAAUGGACGAAAGUCUGACGGAGCAACGCCGCGUGAGUGAUGAAGGCUUUCGGGUCGUAAAACUCUGUUGUUAGGGAAGAACAAGUGCUAGUUGAAUAAGCUGGCACCUUGACGGUACCUAACCAGAAAGCCACGGCUAACUACGUGCCAGCAGCCGCGGUAAUACGUAGGUGGCAAGCGUUAUCCGGAAUUAUUGGGCGUAAAGCGCGCGCAGGUGGUUUCUUAAGUCUGAUGUGAAAGCCCACGGCUCAACCGUGGAGGGUCAUUGGAAACUGGGAGACUUGAGUGCAGAAGAGGAAAGUGGAAUUCCAUGUGUAGCGGUGAAAUGCGUAGAGAUAUGGAGGAACACCAGUGGCGAAGGCGACUUUCUGGUCUGUAACUGACACUGAGGCGCGAAAGCGUGGGGAGCAAACAGGAUUAGAUACCCUGGUAGUCCACGCCGUAAACGAUGAGUGCUAAGUGUUAGAGGGUUUCCGCCCUUUAGUGCUGAAGUUAACGCAUUAAGCACUCCGCCUGGGGAGUACGGCCGCAAGGCUGAAACUCAAAGG